rnacentral:rRNA from 1 species
GGACGCAAGUCUGAACCAGCCAUGCCGCGUGAAGGAUGAAGGUCUUCUGGAUUGCAAACUUCUUUUAUCUGGGACGAAAACGGGAUUUUUAUCUCAAUUGACGGUACCAGAGGAAUAAGCACCGGCUAACUCCGUGCCAGCAGCCGCGGUAAUACGGAGGGUGCGAGCGUUAUCCGGAUUUACUGGGUUUAAAGGGUGCGUAGGUGGGCUUAUAAGUCAGUGGUGAAAUCUCCGAGCUUAACUUGGAAACUGCCGUUGAUACUAUAAGUCUUGAAAUAUCUGGAGGUAAGCGGAAUAUGUCAUGUAGCGGUGACAUGCUUAGAUAUGACAUAGAACACCAAUUGCGAAGGCAGCUUACUACAUAAAAAUUGACGCUGAGGCACGAAAGCGUGGGG